AUUGAACGCUUGCGGCAGGCCUAACACAUGCAAGUCGAGCGGAUGAAGAGAGCUUGCUCUCUGAUUUAGCGGCGGACGGGUGAGUAAUGCGUAGGAAGCUGCCCGAUAGAGGGGGAUACCAGUUGGAAACGACUGUUAAUACCGCAUAAUGUCUACGGACCAACGUGUGGGACCUUCGGGCCACAUGCUAUCGGCUGCGCCUACGUGGGAUUAGCUAGUUGGUGAGGUAAUGGCUCACCAAGGCGACGAUCUCUGGCUGGUUUGAGAGGAUGAUCAGCCACACUGGAACUGAGACACGGUCCAGACUCCUACGGGAGGCAGCAGUGGGGAAUAUUGGACAAUGGGCGCAAGCCUGAUCCAGCCAUGCCGCGUGUGUGAAGAAGGCCUUCGGGUUGUAAAGCACUUUCAGCGAGGAGGAAGGGUGGUGUGUUAAUAGCACAUCAUUUUGACGUUACUCGCAGAAGAAGCACCGGCUAACUCUGUGCCAGCCGCCGCAUAACAC
rnacentral:rRNA from 1 species